UACGUAGGGUGCAAGCGUUGUCCGGAAUUAUUGGGCGUAAAGAGCUCGUAGGCGGUCUGUUGCGUCGGCUGUGAAAACCCGGGGCUCAACCCCGGGCCUGCAGCCGAUACGGGCAGACUAGAGUUCGGCAGGGGAGACUGGAAUUCCUGGUGUAGCGGUGAAAUGCGCAGAUAUCAGGAGGAACACCGGUGGCGAAGGCGGGUCUCUGGGCCGAUACUGACGCUGAGGAGCGGAAGCGUGGGGAGCGAACAGG
rnacentral:rRNA from 1 species